AACGGCCAUACCAUGCUGAAUAUACCGGUUCUCGUUAGAUCACCGAAGUCAAGCAUCAUUGGGCGCGGUCAGUACUUGGGUGGGUGACCACCUGGGAACACCGCGGGCCGUU